rnacentral:rRNA from 1 species
UACAGAGGGUGCGAGCGUUAAUCGGAAUUACUGGGCGUAAAGCGUGCGUAGAUGGUUAUGUAAGUCGGAUGUGAAAGCCCCGGGCUCAACCUGGGAAUUGCAUUCGAGACUGCAUGGCUAGGAUGCGGAAGAGGGAAGCGGAAUUUCCGGUGUAGCGGUGAAAUGCGUAGAUAUCGGAAGGAACACCAGUGGCGAAAGCGGCUUCCUGGUCCAGCAUCGACGUUCAGGCACGAAAGCGUGGGGAGCAAACAGG